CUAAACAAUCCAGUGAAGACUAGUAUAGCCCCUGUGCAAGGAUGAUGCUCAAACUUAUGAAGCAUUCCAUAAAACA
rnacentral:snRNA from 14 species